GGGUGAAAGCGGGGGAUCGCAAGACCUCGCGUUAUUGGAGCGGCCGAUAUCAGAUUAGCUUGUUGGCGGGGUAAAAGCCCACCAAGGCGACGAUCUGUAGCGGGUCUGAGAGGAUGAUCCGCCACACUGGAACUGAGACACGGUCCAGACUCCUACGGGAGGCAGCAGUGGGGAAUUUUGGACAAUGGGGGCAACCCUGAUCCAGCCAUGCCGCGUGAGUGAAGAAGGCCUUCGGGUUGUAAAGCUCUUUCAGCCGGGAAGAAAACGCAUGGGUUAAUACCCUGUGUGGAUGACGGUACCGGAAUAAGAAGCACCGGCUAACUACGUGCCAGCAGCCGCGGUAAUACGUAGGGUGCGAGCGUUAAUCGGAAUUACUGGGCGUAAAGCGUGCGCAGGCGGUUUUGUAAGACAGGCGUGAAAUCCCCGGGCUUAACCUGGGAACUGCGUUUGUGACUGCAAGGCUAGAGUACGGCAGAGGGGGGUGGAAUUCCACGUGUAGCAGUGAAAUGCGUAGAGAUGUGGAGGAACACCAAUGGCGAAGGCAGCCCCCUGGGUCGAUACUGACGCUCAUGCACGAAAGCGUGGGUAGCAAACAGGAUUAGAUACCCUGGUAGUCCACGCCCUAAACGAUGUCAACUAGGUGUUGGGAGGGUAAAACCUUUUAGUACCGGAGCUAACGCGUGAAGUUGACCGCCUGGGGAGUACGGCCGCAAGGUUAAAACUCAAAGGAAUUGACGGGGACCCGCACAAGCGGUGGAUGAUGUGGAUUAAUUCGAUGCAACGCGAAAAACCUUACCUACCCUUGACAUGCCAAGAACUUUCCAGAGAUGGAUUGGUGCCCGAAAGGGAACUUGGACACAGGUGCUGCAUGGCUGUCGUCAGCUCGUGUCGUGAGAUGUUGGGUUAAGUCCCGCAACGAGCGCAACCCUUGUCGUUAAUUGCCAUCAUUUAGUUGGGCACUUUAACGAGACUGCCGGUGACAAACCGGAGGAAGGUGGGGAUGACGUCAAGUCCUCAUGGCCCUUAUGGGUAGGGCUUCACACGUCAUACAAUGGUCGGUACAAAGGGUCGCCAAGCCGCGAGGUGGAGCCAAUCCCAGAAAGCCGAUCGUAGUCCGGAUCGCAGUCUGCAACUCGACUGCGUGAAGUCGGAAUCGCUAGUAAUCGUGGAUCAGAAUGUCACGGUGAAUACGUUCCCGGGUCUUGUACACACCGCCCGUCACACCAUGGGAGCGGGUUCCGCCAGAAGUAGGUAGCCUAACCGCAAGGAGGGCGCUUACCACGGCGGGGUUCGUGACUGGGGUGAAGUCGUAACAAGGUA
rnacentral:rRNA from 1 species